CGAAAUUGGUAGACGCUACGGACUUUAGUAAAAGGAAAAUCCGUCGACUUUAUAAAUCGUGAGGGUUCAAGUCCC
rnacentral:tRNA from 1 species